UCCCUGGUGCACAUGGGUAGUGUGUGGUGCACUUAUCACCACGGUCUGGGUUCGAUUCCUGGUCAGGGAA
rnacentral:tRNA from 1 species